ACAGACAUGAGGGCUCCUGCUCAUCUCCUGGGGCUCUUGUUGCUCUGGAUCCCAGGUUCCAGAUGUGACAUCCAGAUGACCCAGUCUCCUUUUCAGACUGCAUCACUAGGAGACACAGUAACUAUCAAGUGUCAAGCCAGUCAGAACAUUAAUGAUGAAUUAAACUGGUAUCAGCAAAAACCAGGAAAAUCUCCUAAACUCCUAAUCUAUGCUGCAUCCAGAUUGUUUGCUGGAGUCCCAUCCAGGUUCAGUGGCAGUGGUUCUGGCAGAGAUUUUACCCUCACCAUCAGCAGUGUUGAGACAGAAGACAUCGCAACUUACUACUGUAAACAGGAUUUAACUUACCCACACACAGUAGAACAAAUCAUAACAAUAAUCACAGAGUAA